AUUUAAAUAGCUUAAGUAAGAGCGUAACAUUGAAGAUGUUAGGGUAGUUUAGACUUUUAAAUA
rnacentral:tRNA from 1 species